GCCGGGAUGGUGGAACUGGUAGACACGCACGGUUGAGGGGCGUGUGGCUUGCGCCAUACUGUUUCAAGUCCCGUUCCCGGCA
rnacentral:tRNA from 1 species